rnacentral:rRNA from 1 species
AACGAACGCUGGCGGCAUGCCUAACACAUGCAAGUCGAACGAGACCUUCGGGUCUAGUGGCGCACGUGUGCGUAACGCGGGGGAAUCUGCCCUUGGGUUCGGAAUAACAGAUGGAAACGACUGCUAAUACCGGAUGAUGACGUAAGUCCAAAGAUUUAUCGCCCAGGGAUGAGCCCGCGUAGGAUUCGCUAGUUGGUGGGGUAAAGGCCUACCAAGGCGACGAUCCUUAGCUGGUCUGAGAGGAGGACCAGCCACACUGGGACUGAGACACGGCCCAGACUCGUACGGGAGGCAGCAGUGGGGAAUAUUGGACAAGGGGCGAUAGCCUGACCCAGCAACGCCGCGGGAGUGAUGAAGGCCUUAGGGUUGUAAAACUCUUUUACCCGGGAUGAUAAUGACAGUACCGGGAGAAUAAGCCCCGGCUAACUACGUG